rnacentral:rRNA from 1 species
GUGGGGAAUUUUGGACAAUGGGCGCAAGCCUGAUCCAGCAAUGCCGCGUGCAGGAAGAAGGCCUUCGGGUUGUAAACUGCUUUUGUACGGAACGAAACGGUCCUGGCUAAUACCUGGGGCUAAUGACGGUACCGUAAGAAUAAGCACCGGCUAACUACGUGCCAGCAGCCGCGGUAAUACGUAGGGUGCGAGCGUUAAUCGGAAUUACUGGGCGUAAAGCGUGCGCAGGCGGUGCUGUAAGACAGGCGUGAAAUCCCCGGGCUCAACCUGGGAAUUGCGCUUGUGACUGCAGUGCUGGAGUGCGGCAGAGGGGGAUGGAAUUCCGCGUGUAGCAGUGAAAUGCGUAGAUAUGCGGAGGAACACCGAUGGCGAAGGCAAUCCCCUGGGCCUGCACUGACGCUCAUGCACGAAAGCGUGGGGAGCAAACAGGAUUAGAAACCCUUGUAGUCC